rnacentral:lncRNA from 1 species
AUGAUGGGUCAUUCUUUUUUUUUUUUUUUAACUCCUACUUAAUGUGUUUGAAGAGUCUAGAAAUUACCUUGAUAUCUCUUCAGACUUGAAAGGGAAACACAGUUCAGAAUGAUUCAAGACUUUGAAUAGGUUUUUACAUAAGUAUGUGGGUCUUGACUGUAGGCAAUAUAUAAAUAGAAUAAAUAUGGGUAUAAAGUAGAUUUAAGUUUAGAAACAAAAAGCAGUUUGGAAGACCUUAUUCUUUAUUAUAGUGAAUCUUUACCAAAAUUCUAGCAAAUUCAGCACUACAAAGAUAUUAUUAAGUUAAUGAUAAUGCCAGUGGAGAAAAAGAAAAGAUUCUCUGAGUUCAAGUUAUUGACUUAACUGACAAUAUGAGAUCAUCUGUAACAGUAAAUUUCACAGAGGUCAAACUAGAGCAAAACAAUAAUAAAAAAACUGGGUAAGGCAUGUGCUGUCAGAGCUGUACUAAUAAAAGCUACUACAAAGUAAAUUCUUCACUUAUGCACACUCUUGCUUAAUGCCAAAUUGCUGUCAAUGUCCCUUGGUGAGUUCUAUUUAUGAGCAGAUUACAACACACUCUCAGAGGCCCUGCACAUCUAACUCUCAGUGAGUGCCGACACAGAAUAUAUGGUCUUCCUGGAGCUGUGAAAUUUAAUUAAUUUGCUGGCAGAGUACAGUUUUCACGCCACAUGCCUUUGCCCUGACCCUGCUCGGGACUUCCAUUUUCAAAUAUGCUUUAUAUAUUGUAAACCUAUAUCAUCUUAAUGAAACUUUUCCACAUGGUAAUUUCAGUGCUUGACUUAAUUUUCUCAAAAGCGCCAGUGCCUACAUAAAUUCUUUUUUGCUGUAAUACUAACUGUCAUUUGCUAAGUUGCAUGAAUAUAUGCAUGUCCCCCUCCAAUUUUUGAUAUUCAGAUCUCAAAGCAUUGCCCUUUAGGUAUCACAUUAAAUAUAAGAUUCUUAGGUAAAUUUUAAAACAACAAGAAACCUCUAUCUUCUUUGUCUCUCACAUCUAUUUGAGGUAAAUGUCAUGUAUACUGUAUUUAAUAUCUUCCACUUAGUACCAUAAAGAGCAAUAUGGACCAAGGAUGCUACUGAUUAAUCAUCCCUUCAAAUUCUCACCUACUGCAUAAGUAUACGUCUCUUGAAUGACAACCCCUUCAAUAUUAUUUCUGCUUUUUAUAACAUACGGAAGUCUAGGGAUUUUAGAAAUUGGUAUUUUGCUCUAGCUUUGCCAAUAAAUGGACAGAAGUAUGAUUCGUCAUCUGUAAAAUGGAGAGGCUAAGCUAGUUAAGAGUGACUGUCAGUGAGACAAAGGGUUUUACUUUUAUUUCUAAAGCUAUAUCCUUGAGAGGAAUUCUAGAACUUGGUUUUACUCUGUGAUGUGGAAUAGUAUGAUCAUGCAAGUAAUUAUCUCACUUUGCUACAGUUUUGCUUCAACAUUUUUCCAAAACACCUAUGAAAAAAGGAAAUAAAUUCAUUGCUAUAAUUUUAGAUUGUUGCAUUUUACUAUUGGAAAUGUAUGUAUGCAUGAAUUACAUAAACAUGCAUUCAUAUAUGUGUGUGUUAGGUAUUUAGAUGUAAGUGUUACCAGUCAUUGAGACGGUCUCCUCUGCCUGCCAUAUGUUAAUGGGGAAAUGAGAGUCCAGUCCUGGGGUUCUUAAUGCAAGAAUUUAAGAAAGAAAAAAAAUCUAAAGGCCAUUUUAUUAGAGUUCAGAAGAAAAACCCCAGGACAGGCAAGCUUUAAAUCUCAGCAGCUGCCAUUAAAAAAAAAAAAAAAAAAAAAGGUGAAGAGGGUUAGAGAGAAAAUCAUCAAGCCACAUGACAGACAAGCAGCCACAUGUGGGUGACAAGGGCUUUAAGAAAGAAAG